UUGACCUCGGAUCAGGUAGGGAUACCCGCUGAACUUAAGCAUAUCAAUAAGCGGAGGAAAAGAAACCAACAGGGAUUGCCCUAGUAACGGCGAGUGAAGCGGCAACAGCUCAAAUUUGAAAGCUAGCCUUCGGGUUCGCAUUGUAAUUUGUAGAGGAUGAUUUGGGGAAGCCGCCUGUCUAAGUUCCUUGGAACAGGACGUCAUAGAGGGUGAGAAUCCCGUAUGUGACAGGAAAUGGCACCCUAUGUAAAUCUCCUUCGACGAGUCGAGUUGUUUGGGAAUGCAGCUCUAAAUGGGAGGUAAAUUUCUUCUAAAGCUAAAUAUUGGCGAGAGACCGAUAGCGCACAAGUAGAGUGAUCGAAAGAUGAAAAGCACUUUGGAAAGAGAGUUAAAAAGCACGUGAAAUUGUUGAAAGGGAAGCGCUUGCAAUCAGACUUGUUUAAACUGUUCGGCCGGUCUUCUGACCGGUUUACUCAGUUUGGACAGGCCAGCAUCAGUUUCGGCGGCCGGAUAAAGGCUCUGGGAAUGUGGCCUCCACUUCGGUGGAGGUGUUAUAGCCCAGGGUGUAAUACGGCCAGCC
rnacentral:rRNA from 1 species